rnacentral:rRNA from 1 species
ACGGAGGGUGCAAGCGUUAAUCGGAAUAACUGGGCGUAAAGCGCACGCAGGCGGUUAGAUAAGUCAGAUGUGAAAUCCCCGGGCUCAACCUGGGAACUGCAUUUGAAACUGUCUGACUAGAGUCUUGUAGAGGGGGGUAGAAUUCCAGGUGUAGCGGUGAAAUGCGUAGAGAUCUGGAGGAAUACCGGUGGCGAAGGCGGCCCCCUGGACAAAGACUGACGCUCAGGUGCGAAAGCGUGGGGAGCAAACAG